rnacentral:rRNA from 1 species
AGCUCCAAUAGCGUAUAUUAAAGUUGUUGUGGUUGAAAAGCUCGUAGUUGGAUCUCAACAGACCCGGGUCGGUUUACUUUGUGUAAUACUGAUCCGGUACUGUGCUUUUGCUGGAGGUUCAGGGGUGCUCUUAACCGAGUGUCUCUGAGUGCCAGCAGGUUUACUUUGAAGAAAAUUGGUUGCUCAAGGAAGGCUGUUAUGCCUGAAAAUUUGUGCAUGGAAUAAUAGAAUAGGAUGUUGAUCUUAUUUUGUUGGCUUUUAGAAUUAGAGUAAUGGUUAAUAGGGAUAGUUGGGGGCAUUCAUAUUUAACUGUCAGAGGUGAAAUGCUUGGAUUUGUUAAGGAUGAACGACUGCGAAAGCAUUUGCCAAGGAUGCUU